rnacentral:rRNA from 1 species
AAAACUUUGGAGAGAGAGUCAAAGAGACCGCGAAACCGUUGGGAGGGAAACGAAUGUAGCCAUGAAGACUCCACUCAGGUUCAUGGCGCCGUGGAGUGAGUGUUGCCGUCGGCGUGAGUUCCUCUGGUGCCCGUCCGUGGCAAGCUUGCCGAGGCGUCUGCAAUCCCGUUUGGAGUCCGCCAACGGCGGUUGUCUGCGGUCCAGCAGGGUUGGAGGGAGGUGCCUCCACCUCGUGAUUCGUCUCGGGGAGGAGAACGUAUAGCCUCCGGCCUGGUGACCGGAGACGGCCGAGGAGAGUUGCGACCCUUCGCACCGUGCAGUGCAGACUCCUUUGGGGGCCGGGUCGCUUGUGAGCUUGCGUUCUUCGCGGCGAGAUACUGCGUNCAGUGCUCGUUGACGUAAAGGGCGCUCGCCCGCUAGGUCGCCCACGAUGUGCACUGUAGUCGUUG